rnacentral:rRNA from 1 species
UACGGGGGGGGCAAGCGUUGUUCGGAAUUACUGGGCGUAAAGGGCUCGUAGGCGGCCAACUAAGUCGGAUGUGAAAUCCCCAGGCUUAACCUGGGAACUGCAUCCGAUACUGGAUGGCUUGAAUUCGGGAGAGGGAUGCAGAAUUCCAGGUGUAGCGGUGAAAUGCGUAGAUAUCUGGAGGAAUACCGGCGGCGAAGGCGGCAUCCUGGACCGACAUUGACGCUGAGGAGCGAAAGCUAGGGGAGCAAACGGG